GGACUACAGGGGUAUCUAAUCCUGUUCGCUCCCCAUGCUUUCGCUCCUCAGCGUCAGUAACAGCCCAGAGACCUGCCUUCGCCAUCGGUGUUCCUCCUGAUAUCUGCGCAUUCCACCGCUACACCAGGAAUUCCAGUCUCCCCUACUGCACUCUAGUCUGCCCGUACCCACUGCACACCCGGGGUUAAGCCCCGGGCUUUCACAGCAGACGCGACAAACCGCCUACGAGCUCUUUACGCCCAAUAAUUCCGGACAACGCUUGCGCCCUACGUAUUACCGCGGCGGCUGGCAC
rnacentral:rRNA from 1 species